UGGGGAAUAUUGGACAAUGGGCGCAAGCCUGAUCCAGCCAUACCGCGUGGGUGAUGAAGGCCUUCGGGUUGUAAAGCCCUUUUGUUGGGAAAGAAAAGCAGUCGGUUAAUACCCGAUUGUUCUGACGGUACCCAAAGAAUAAGCACCGGCUAACUUCGUGCCAGCAGCCGCGGUAAUACGAAGGGUGCAAGCGUUACUCGGAAUUACUGGGCGUAAAGCGUGCGUAGGUGGUUGUUUAAGUCUGUCGUGAAAGCCCUGGGCUCAACCUGGGAAUUGCGAUGGAAACUGGGCGACUAGAGUGUGGCAGAGGAUAGUGGAAUUCCUGGUGUAGCAGUGAAAUGCGUAGAGAUCAGGAGGAACAUCCGUGGCGAAGGCGACUGUCUGGGCCAACACUGACACUGAGGCACGAAAGCGUGGGGAGCAAACAGG
rnacentral:rRNA from 1 species